UCCUGGCACUGUGGUCAUUCAACACAGUGGCUGUUGUUUCUGGAUUUCUCAACAGGAAGUUCAAAGGAUGCCUUUUAUUGUGGUUUUAUUCAUCUCCAACCUGCACCUAACAUACAUGCAUCACAUGGCAAGAGCUUUUCUGUCACUACUGGUA